GUGAGGAAUUUUCCGCAAUGGGCGAAAGUCUGACGGAGCAAUGCCGCGUGAAGGAUGAAGGCCUAUGGGUUGUAAACUUCUUUUCUCAGAAAAGAAUUAUGACGGUAUCUGAGGAAUAAGCAUCGGCUAACUCUGUGCCAGCAGCCGCGGUAAGACAGAGGAUGCAAGCGUUAUCCGGAAUGAUUGGGCGUAAAGCGUCUGUAGGUUGUUUAAAAAGUAUUCUGUCAAAGAUUAGGGCUUAACCCUAGAUAGGCAGAAUAAACUUUUAAGCUAGAGUUUGGUAGAGGCAGAGGGAAUUCCCGGUGGAGCGGUGAAAUGCGUAGAUAUCGGGAGGAACACCAAAGGCGAAGGCACUCUGCUGGGCCAAUACUAACACUGAGAGACGAAAGCGAGGGGAGCAAAUGGGAUUAGAUACCCGGGUAGUCC
rnacentral:rRNA from 1 species